GUUGUACUCUCUUCCCCCGAUAAUACUUUUCAUCAAAAUGUAUAAAAAGGGAUGUAUCUAGAACUAAAAUACGUCUAGAUACAUCCCCUUUUAUUCAUCUUGAUGACAAGUAUUUCCGGACGGAGAGAGUACUAC
rfam:Triticum aestivum genome assembly, contig: Triticum_aestivum_CS42_TGACv1_scaffold_145880_2BS